rnacentral:rRNA from 1 species
CCUACGGGGGGCUGCAGUGGGGAAUAUUGGACAAUGGGGGGAACCCUGAUCCAGCCAUGCCGCGUGUGUGAAGAAGGCCCUCGGGUUGUAAAGCACUUUCAGUGAGGAAGAACGCCUGGUGGUUAAUACCCAUCAGGAAAGACAUCACUCACAGAAGAAGCACCGGCUAACUCCGUGCCAGCAGCCGCGGUAAUACGGAGGGUGCGAGCGUUAAUCGGAAUUACUGGGCGUAAAGCGCGCGUAGGUGGCUUGAUAAGCCGGUUGUGAAAGCCCCGGGCUCAACCUGGGAACGGCAUCCGGAACUGUCAAGCUAGAGUGCAGGAGAGGAAGGUAGAAUUCCCGGUGUAGCGGUGAAAUGGGUAGAGAUCGGGAGGAAUACCAGUGGCGAAGGCGGCCUUCUGGACUGACACUGACACUGAGGUGCGAAAGCGUGGGUAGCAAACAGGAUUAGAUACCCCAGUAGUC